GAUGAACGCUGGCGGCGUGCUUAACACAUGCAAGUCGAACGGAAAGGCUCCUGCUUGCAGGGGUACUCGAGUGGCGAACGGGUGAGUAACACGUGGGUGAUCCGCCCUGCACUUCGGGAUAAGCCUGGGAAACUGGGUCUAAUACCGGAUAGGACGAUGGUUUGGAUGCCAUUGUGGAAAGUUUUUUCGGUGUGGGAUGAGCUCGCGGCCUAUCAGCUUGUUGGUGGGGUAAUGGCCUACCAAGGCGUCGACGGGUAGCCGGCCUGAGAGGGUGUACGGCCACAUUGGGACUGAGAUACGGCCCAGACUCCUACGGGAGGCAGCAGUGGGGAAUAUUGCACAAUGGGCGCAAGCCUGAUGCAGCGACGCCGCGUGGGGGAUGACGGCCUUCGGGUUGUAAACUCCUUUCGCUAGGGACGAAGCGCAAGUGACGGUACCUGGAGAAGAAGCACCGGCUAACUACGUG
rnacentral:rRNA from 1 species